rnacentral:rRNA from 1 species
GACGAACGCUGGCGGCGUGCCUAACACAUGCCAGUCGAACGAAACGUUCGGGCCUUGUUGCGCACGGCUGCUUACCACGGGGUAAGCUACCCUUAGGUUCGGAAUAACUCCCCGAAAGGGAUCCUCAUACCAGUUAGUGUCUUCGGACCAAAGAUCUAUCGCCUUUGGAUGGGCCCGCGUUGGAUUAGCUAGUUGGUAGGGUAAAAGCCUACCAACGCGACGAUCCAUAGCUGGUCUGGGAGGAUGAUCAGCCACACUGGGACUGAGACACGGCCCAGACUCGUACGGAAGGGAGCAGUGGGGAAUAUUGGACGAUGGGCGAAAGCGUGAUCCGGCAGUGUCGCGUGAGUGGUGAAGGCGUUAGGAUUGUGAAGCUGUGUGAGACGGGAUGAUAGUGACAGUAACGGGAGAAUAAGCUCCGGCUAACUACGUG